UGCCGCGGGGCCCGUCUGCCUCGCAGUUGCAGCUACGGCCAUCGGUAACGGGAUCGCUGGCGUCCAGGCUGGGAGCCGUAACCAUGGAGAUUCAGCAGUACGGCAGUACGCAAGUCAUGCCCAUGGAUGCCGUACGGAAUUGCUUUUCGAAGCUUCUAGUGGUGCGUUUUCGUUAUUGCUGUGUCAUCCUGUCUUGUCUUAUCUUUCUUGGGGUGUUACACUGUGGGCGGUUCGUCCCGAGAAAGGGCGAGCACCGGGGGACCUGACCGGGCCGAAACACAGCGCAGGGGCGGGCGCGCGGCUCUACGUCCGUCUGUUCCUCCGCGCGCGCCUUAGACCCUCACUCACGCCAACCGGGGUGCUUUCCCAGCCCCUGGCUAGGCAACACAGCGGUGCAGAAGACUGCGAGCCGAACUAAGCGAGAGCCGCACGAAAGGCGCCACAUCACCUCUGGAAACCCUAAACAGGCUAUCUGCCCCCACUUCGCCUGGCCAGUCUACUCGCGCGCUCUCUCCCCUCUAGACCACCAAAACUAUGGCUCUGCAAUGAUUUUCAAGGGCUGCCUCUUCCCCUAGUGUGCACACACAUUACCGUCUGCAACGAAUGCUCCAUAAAAGCAGCUCCAAGCCGCGUCGCCAGUAUGUUACUUCAUAGCCUUGCCAGCUGGAGCAAACCUGUGUUCCCUACGGCACCCAACAGUCCAGUUGAACAUCUACGGCCGACUUUGAAUGGCGCCAGGCUAGAGGAGCAGAUUUCUUCGUUAUGAUUUUGGAGUGAGCCCCCUUGCAUCACAGACAUGAUUCUGCAGAUUAUCUUUCAUACGCAAUCCCGUCUCGUCCGAUCAGGGCAAUGGGCUCCUGCAGAGACUAAACGCACAAUCGAGAUUUUAUCGCACUUUUGUGAAAAGGCGG
rnacentral:lncRNA from 1 species